UGCUACCAUGCAGUCGAGCGAUGAAACCCCUUCGGGGGUGGAUUAGCGGCGGACGGGUGAGUAACACGUGGGUAACCUGCCUCAAAGUGGGGGAUAGCCUUCCGAAAGGAAGAUUAAUACCGCAUAAAGCCAAGUUUCACAUGGAAUUUGGAUGAAAGGAGUAAUUCGCUUUGAGAUGGACCCGCGGCGCAUUAGUUAGUUGGUGGGGUAAUGGCCUACCAAGACAGCGAUGCGUAGCCGACCUGAGAGGGUGAUCGGCCACAUUGGAACUGAGAUACGGUCCAGACUCCUACGGGAGGCAGCAGUGGGGAAUAUUGCACAAUGGGCGAAAGCCUGAUGCAGCAACGCCGCGUGAGUGAUGAAGGUCUUCGGAUUGUAAAGCUCUGUCUUUUGGGACGAUAAUGACGGUACCAAAGGAGGAAGCCACGGCUAACUACGUGCCAGCAGCCGCGGUAAUACGUAGGUGGCGAGCGUUGUCCGGAUUUACUGGGCGUAAAGGGUGCGUAGGCGGAUGUUUAAGUGAGAUGUGAAAUACCCGGGCUUAACUUGGGUGCUGCAUCUCAAACUGGAUAUCUAGAGUGCAGGAGAGGAGAAUGGAAUUCCUAGUGUAGCGGUGAAAUGCGUAGAGAUUAGGAAGAACACCAGUGGCGAAGGCGAUUCUCUGGACUGUAACUGACGCUGAGGCACGAAAGCGUGGGUAGCAAACAGGAUUAGAUACCCUGGUAGUCCACGCCGUAAACG
rnacentral:rRNA from 1 species